rnacentral:rRNA from 1 species
UACGAAGGGGGCUAGCGUUGUUCGGAAUUACUGGGCGUAAAGCGCACGUAGGCGGACUAUUAAGUCAGGGGUGAAAUCCCGGGGCUCAACCCCGGAACUGCCUUUGAUACUGGUAGUCUCGAGUCCGGAAGAGGUGAGUGGAAUUCCCGGUGUAGCGGUGAAAUGCGCAGAUAUCGGGAGGAACACCAAUGGCGAAGGCAGCUCGCUGGGACGGUACUGACGCUGAGACGCGAAAGCGUGGGGAGCAAACAGG